rnacentral:snRNA from 1 species
GGAUGUGAGGGCGAUCUGGCUGAGACACCUGUCACCCCAUUGAUCGCCAGGGCUGAUUCGCUGAUCUGGCUGGCUAGGCGGGUGUUCCUUCCUCCCUCACCGCCCCAUGUGCGUCCACUGCACUACUGGGUUCAAGGGAGGGUUAAGAAUAUAAGCCCAGCAAGAAAAAAAACUUUGUUUUAC